UGGGGAAUAUUGCACAAUGGGCGCAAGCCUGAUGCAGCCAUGCCGCGUGUGUGAAGAAGGCCUUCGGGUUGUAAAGCACUUUCAGCGGGGAGGAAGGCGAUAAGGUUAAUAACCUUGUCGAUUGACGUUACCCGCAGAAGAAGCACCGGCUAACUCCGUGCCAGCAGCCGCGGUAAUACGGAGGGUGCAAGCGUUAAUCGGAAUUACUGGGCGUAAAGCGCACGCAGGCGGUCUGUCAAGUCGGAUGUGAAAUCCCCGGGCCCAACCUGGGAACUGCAUUCGAAACUGGCAGGCUAGAGUCUUGUAGAGGGGGGUAGAAUUCCAGGUGUAGCGGUGAAAUGCGUAGAGAUCUGGAGGAAUACCGGUGGCGAAGGCGGCCCCCUGGACAAAGACUGACGCUCAGGUGCGAAAGCGUGGGGAGCAAACAGG
rnacentral:rRNA from 1 species